GACGAGAAAGGGGCUUCGGCUCUGAGUAAAGUGGCGCACGGGUGAGUAACACGUGAAUGAUCUACCUCCGAGUGGGGAAUAACCUAGAGAAAUCUGGGCUAAUACCGCAUAACAUCUACGGAUCAAAGCAGCAAUGCGCUUGGAGAGGAGUUCGCGGUCGAUUAGUUAGUUGGUGGGGUAAUGGCCUACCAAGACGAUGAUCGAUAUCCGGCCUGAGAGGGCGCACGGACACACUGGAACUGAAACACGGUCCAGACUCCUACGGGAGGCAGCAGUGGGGAAUUUUGCGCAAUGGGGGAAACCCUGACGCAGCAACGCCGCGUGGAGGAUGACAUAUCUUGGUAUGUAAACUCCUUUCGAUAGGGAAGAUUAUGACGGUACCUAUAGAAGAAGCCCCGGCUAACUUCGUGCCAGCAGACGAGGUAAUACGAGGGGGGCAAGCGUUGUUCGGAAUUAUUGGG
rnacentral:rRNA from 1 species